UCAUUUAAUGAGAAUAAAUAUUACCUCCUUCUGUAAUUUUGGGAAGGCAAAAACCACAAACCACUUUCUAUAGGUAAGUACUGUAUAUUGUGUUAUCGUAUACUAACUAUGAACUAGGACAGCUGUUACGUCAUACAAUUAUAUCCGUCUGUCAUGGCUGAUGUAACUAUAGAUGGGAUAACCAAAGUACCACAGUGUUUCACCGUAAAUUAAGUUUUGGGACGCAGUGUGCCAUU